UACGAGUGCCCCAAGCGUUAUCCGGAAUCAUUGGGCGUAAAGGGUGUGUAGGCGGUCGUGUUAGUCUUCUGUCAAAGCUCGGGGCUCAACCCCGGAACUGCGAAAGAAACGGCGCAGCUGGAGGGUGCGAAGGGUCUGUGGAACUCAUGGAGUAGGGGUGAAAUCCGUUGAUAUCAUGGGGAACACCAAAGGCGAAGGCAGCAGACUGGCGCAUUCCUGACACUGAAACACGAAAGCGUGGGUAGCGAAUGGG
rnacentral:rRNA from 1 species